rnacentral:rRNA from 1 species
AUUGAACGCUGGCGGCAUGCCUUACACAUGCAAGUCGAACGGUAACGGGCCUUCGGGUGCCGACGAGUGGCGAACGGGUGCGUAAUACAUCGGAACGUGCCCGAUCGUGGGGGAUAACGAGGCGAAAGCUUUGCUAAUACCGCAUACGAUCUACGGAUGAAAGCAGGGGACCGCAAGGCCUUGCGCGGACGGAGCGGCCGAUGGCAGAUUAGGUAGUUGGUGGGAUAAAAGCUUACCAAGCCGACGAUCUGUAGCUGAUCUGAGAGGAUGAUCAGCCACACUGGGACUGAGACACGGCCCAGACUCCUACGGGAGGCAGCAGUGGGGAAUUUUGGACAAUGGGCGCAAGCCUGAUCCAGCCAUGCCGCGUGCAGGAUGAAGGCCUUCGGGUUGUAAACUGCUUUUGUACGGAACGAAAAGCCUUCUUUUAAUACAGGAGGGUCAUGACGGUACCGUAAGAAUAGGCACCGGCUAACUACGUG